rnacentral:rRNA from 1 species
UAACGGCGAGUGAAGCGGCAAAAGCUCAAAUUUGAAAUCUGGCACCUUCGGUGUCCGAGUUGUAAUUUGAAGAAGGUAACUUUGGAGUUGGCUCUUGUCUAUGUUCCUUGGAACAGGACGUCACAGAGGGUGAGAAUCCCGUGCGAUGAGAUGCCCAAUUCUAUGUAAAGUGCUUUCGAAGAGUCGAGUUGUUUGGGAAUGCAGCUCUAAGUGGGUGGUAAAUUCCAUCUAAAGCUAAAUAUUGGCGAGAGACCGAUAGCGAACAAGUACAGUGAUGGAAAGAUGAAAAGAACUUUGAAAAGAGAGUGAAAAAGUACGUGAAAUUGUUGAAAGGGAAGGGCUUGAGAUCAGACUUGGUAUUUUGCAAGCCUUACCUUCGUGGUGGGGUCCCCUGCAGUUUACUGGGCCAGCAUCGGUUUGGAUGGUAGGAUAAUGACUUGGGAAUGUGACUUUGCUUCGGUAAAGUGUUAUAGCCCUUGUUGAUACUGCCUGUCUAGACCGAGGACUGCGUCUUUGACUAGGAUGCUGGCAUAAUGAUCUUAAGUCGCCCGUCUUGAA